GUAGUCCACGCCCUAAACGAUGUCAACUGGUUGUUGGGGAAGGCAACUUCCUUAGUAACGAAGCUAACGCGUGAAGUUGACCGCCUGGGGAGUACGGCCGCAAGGUUAAAACUCAAAGGAAUUGACGGGGACCCGCACAAGCGGUGGAUGAUGUGGAUUAAUUCGAUGCAACGCGAAGAACCUUACCUACCCUUGACAUGCCAGGGAGCUUGCUGAGAGGCGAGUGUGCCCGAAAGGGAACCUGGACACAGGUGCUGCAUGGCUGUCGUCAGCUCGUGUCGUGAGAUGUUGGGUUAAGUCCCGCAACGAGCGCAACCCUUGCCACUAGUUGCCACCGAAAGGGGCACUUUAGUGGGACUGCCGGUGACAAACCGGA
rnacentral:rRNA from 1 species